UAAGGUUCGGCUCGAGCGUCAGCGAGAGAGCGUUGCCGCAGGCAACGACCCGAAGGGCGAAGCGCGCAGCGCUGAGUAAUCCUUCCCCCACCACCA
rnacentral:sRNA from 1 species